rnacentral:sRNA from 1 species
AAAACAGGGUCAAAAGGUCAGAAGUCCGAUGCAGGUUUGCAUGCAUGAGGAUUUUUGGCCUUGUUACCCGCUAAGAAACAUGAGUAAGCAGCCAUUUUCAAAGAAAAAUGUGCGAAUUACUAAGUUUUAUGAGAAUUGCGGGAGCAUGUAGUGCGGAGCAAUUUGAUA